rnacentral:miRNA from 1 species
AAUGAGUUAUGAGAAGAGAGGGAGAGAGAUAGAGAGGGAGCUAUGAGAGCUAUAAAUCUUAUGAUUUAUGCAUAAUCAACAAAUUGAUUUUUCAUUUGCUUGCACGCUCGCUCUGUCUCUCUCGCUCUGCAGCUAUUUUUCCUCU